UUGUGAAUAUUCUCACUGUUUUGAUUUUAUAAUAGUAACAACAAGCUAAACAUUCACUAUAUUAAAACCACGCAUGUGUCUCGGACCCACCUCUUUCCCUAGGUUUGUUUUUAUAAAUGCUGGUGAUAAAC
rnacentral:snoRNA from 1 species